ACUGUGCGCGAGAGAGGAGGGAAAGGGGAAGCGUUCGUGCCUCUCUGCCCCCUGUCCCCCUCUUGCUGCAUAGUAGCCACAUCCAUGUCUCUUGUACCCUGCAAUCUGGAGGCCACUGCCAGAAGCUGGAAAUCUCAAGUAGAGCAGCAAAAGGCUUGAGGAUGGAUUCUUGGCUCCUGGUGCAUUGCCACUCCCUGCCACCCUCCUCCUUGUCUUCUAUCUUCUCCUGGUGGCGUCAGGCCUUGCUUCGUGUCCCAACAGGAGCCUCUGGGGCUGGCACAGCCCUCACUGCCUACAACCUGGGCCUGGUGGUUCUCCUAGGGUGCCUCUGGGAGGUCAUGGUCACCCCGCUGCUGGCUAACUGCAGCUACUUCUGCCAGCCAGUGGACUACAGAUGGAGAAAGCAUGGAAUGAGGGUAUGGCAGGGAGCAGGAAGCAAGCCUGGAGAGGGUUAGGAGGAACAACUUCAUAACAAUCGGAGGUCAAGGAGGCAUCUUCCUGGAGACAGGAAGGUAGGCACUGUGGAAUCAGCGGUGCGUAGAACAGUGAGGAUUUGGGGCUGAACCCAGCCCAGGUGGGCCAAGCCGUGGCACCAGCCGGACUGCAGUCUGAUGGAACUUCCCCUUCCUGCCCAGCAGAUGGCGAGCGUGUGCUGCUGGUGCCUCUUUCCAAAGGACGUUGAAUUGCUUGACAGCCCUGCCCAGCAUCUAGAAGACCACCUGAAGCUUUCACACUUUGAGACCUUAGAUCCUGCGAGGGUUUGAAUUUCAAAAGCUUCAAUUAAAGCACACAGUGUUCUUUACUUUAUGAAUGAAGCCAGAGCAGCCCACCUUCCUGCAUCUCUACCACCAUGGCACCAUGCCCUGUGAUGGGUGGGCUGGAGUCAAAUAUGUAGCAGGCAGCCAGGGUCAGUUUGUGGCCACUGCUGCCCCCUCUUCCUACAGUCUCCUCACUGAGUGCCCCUUCCCUGUUGGGUUCAACACAUCUGUGCUCCUGUAAGCCCUCAGCCUCCUCGUUCUCUUCCUCAACUUCUACCACCAGACACAUCUGAGAAGCAAGCAAGAGAGGCUGAACUAGGAGCAGGACCCAGGGACUGAAACCAGCACAGCAUCCCCACAGAGAAUUGGGUGGAAGGCAGCAUGGCUUCCAGCUUACUGGUGCUGAGCAGAUUGCUCUGGGUCUCCAUUGUAUCCUCUGAAGGAAGGAGGAGGAUUGCCUUCUGUCCAGAUCUCAGGAUCAAACAAAUAGGUCCAAUUUCCUGUGCUCACUUCAGUUAGAGCACUUCUCAUGUGACUUUGUAGCUUUGUGUGCAUCUCCUUCCUCUACUAGACCUAAGCCCCUCACGGGAGGGACUCUCUUAUUCUUGAUGUUCCCCACACCUGGAAUUUCAAUAAACAUCUCAAUAAAC
rnacentral:lncRNA from 1 species